AUCUGCCAAUCAUGCUGACAUCAUCCGCUCAGGCUUGGCUAACUGGCCUCCCCGAGUACACCAUCAACAGUUGGGCUGAGUUGACAGCUCAGUU
rnacentral:snoRNA from 1 species